rnacentral:rRNA from 1 species
CGCUGGCGGCGUGCUUAACACAUGCAAGUCGUACGAACGGAGGAGAGCUUGCUCUCCAAUGUUAGUGGCGAACGGGUGCGUAACACGUGAGCAACCUGCCAUCCGGCGGGGGAGUAGCCGGCCUAACGGCCGGGUAAUACCGCGUACGACCUCGAGCUCGCAUGGGCUUGAGGUGAAAGUGGCCGCAAGGUCACACCGGAUGAGGGGCUCGCGGCCUAUCAGCUUGUUGGUGGGGUAACGGCCUACCAAGGCGACGACGGGUAGCUGGUCUGAGAGGAUGAUCAGCCACAUUGGGACUGAGAUACGGCCCAGACUCCUACGGGAGGCAGCAGUGGGGAAUAUUGCGCAAUGGCCGCAAGGCUGACGCAGCGACGCCGCGUGUGGGAUGAAGGCUCUCGGGUUGUAAACCACUGUCAGGAGGGACGAAUACUCGGCUUCGAAUAGGAGACCGAGGGUGACGGUACCUCCAGAGGAAGCGCCGGCUAACUCCGUG